CGUAACAACAACCUCGUGAACCUCGUCAGGACAG
rnacentral:SRP_RNA from 15 species